rfam:Mus musculus chromosome X, GRC primary reference assembly.
GGGGAUGUAGCUCAGCGGUAGAGCACAUGCUUUGCAUGUAUGGGGUCCCGGGUUCGAUUCCCGGCAUCUCCA